rnacentral:lncRNA from 1 species
CUGUUCUAAAAUGCAUGUGACUGUAGGGGAGCAGAAUUUGAUACCCCAAAAUGUGUCUCUUUGGCUUGACUAUUUUUAAGAAAAAAAGACUCAGGAAGAAGCUUUGACCUCCCCCUAACUACCUAAAAGAAUUUAAGAUAGAAGACCUGUUCCAAGAAGGAGCUAUCACCACAGGCAGAUGUUGAUGAAUAUUAAAUGCUGUUGGAGAAGACACUUGAUUGAGCAGACAACACAGACAACAUCUCUUGAAGGACGGAUGCUGUGAAAUUACACAGCCAGAAUCCAUAAUGACCCACACUGCACUCAAGAGCUACUCAGGAGAAGGAAUUUCCAUCUGAGGAAGAAAGAAGCUCUGGGGCAUGGACAUAUGCUGUCUUCCAAAAAAUAAAUCAAUAAUGCAUGUGCUUAAAUUUUACUCUCAAAGAGAGAAAGAAGUUUUAUUUUUAAAAAAGCACUCAAUAUUAUAUCUUACUGUGGAAAGGCCGUUGUGGAAGUUACUCAUUUGUCUUUCUUUUCUAAAAAUUUUAGAAAAAAAAAUAAACUUUUAAUCCAAUCACGUAUUCUUAAAUCUAGUAAUACUCUUUUGAUGUCCUUUUUAU